rnacentral:rRNA from 1 species
UACGGAGGAUUCGAGCGUUAUCCGGAUUUAUUGGGUUUAAAGGGUGCGUAGGCGGGAUGAUAAGUCAGCGGUGAAAGUUUGUAGCUUAACUAUAAAAUUGCCAUUGAAACUGUCGUUCUUGAGUGCAAAUGAGGUAGGCGGAAUGUGUUGUGUAGCGGUGAAAUGCAUAGAUAUAACACAGAACACCGAUUGCGAAGGCAGCUUACUGGGAUGCAACUGACGCUGAGGCACGAAAGCGUGGGGAUCGAAC